UUUAAUUGAAGAGUUUGAUCAUGGCUCAGAUUGAACGCUGGCGGCAGGCCUAACACAUGCAAGUCGAGCGGUAACAUGCCUUCGGGUGAUGACGAGCGGCGGACGGGUGAGUAAUGCUUGGGUAUCUGCCCGAUGGAGGGGGACAACCACUGGAAACGGUGGCUAAUACCGCAUAAUGUCUACGGACCAAAGCGUGGGACCUUCGGG
rnacentral:rRNA from 1 species